rnacentral:rRNA from 1 species
CAAUAGCGUAUAUUAAAGUUGUUGCAGUUAAAAAGCUCGUAGUUGAACUUCAGGCCUGGCCGGGCGGUCUGCCUAACGGUAUGUACUGUCUGGCUGGGUCUUACCUCUUGGUGAGCCGGCAUGCCCUUUACUGGGUGUGUCGGGGAACCAGGACUUUUACCUUGAGAAAAUUAGAGUGUUCAAAGCAGGCCUAUGCCCGAAUACAUUAGCAUGGAAUAAUAAAAUAGGACGUGCGGUUCUAUUUUGUUGGUUUUUAGGAUCGCCGUAAUGAUUAAUAGGGAUAGUUGGGGGCAUUAGUAUUCAGUUGCUAGAGGUGAAAUUCUUGGAUUUACUGAAGACUAACUAUUGCGAAAGCAUUUGCCAAGGAUGUUUUCAUUA